GAGGCAGAGCAGCACCCAGCACCUCAAGUUCAGUACCCCAGCUCUCACUGCUCUGCUGAGGCUGUGAGGUCGUUUGUUAUCACCGUACAGUGGUGCAUCAUGCCUGACUCUGUCACUGUAUCUUCAUAAGGUCUGGGGCCAUUGAUGGCAUCAACAUCUUAAUUUCUCCAAUCUUGCAGAGGAAGACACUAUUCCACCUUGACAUGAUAGUGACUGAGGAACUACAGCAUUCUGAAAGGGAAUUGUAGAAGAGGGCAUUGUCCCAGAAUCAGGGAACAGCCACUGAAACUGGAGUCUUGAAAUUGGUUCUCCAUGGCACAUGUGGAAGUCUUUGACGAGGCCAAGGUGUUUGCAUGGUCACUGUCAUAUGUUAUGACAGCUAGAAGUGUCCAGGAGUUAAGGGUUAUUAGAGGGUGUACGUUGCAAAGGUGUGGAGAUGAAGAAUAAAGGGGAAAUUGUUUUUGCU
ensembl:antisense Gm13175 predicted gene 13175